rnacentral:tRNA from 1 species
GAUAUCUUGCUCCGCUGUAAUGCUCGCCGCCCUCAUGUACGCUGCGUACGAGAUU